UAAUUAAACAAUUCUAAUAUAUCUUUAUCGAGGCUUAUAUAAAAAUAUUUUCUUUUCCAUUUUUUCCUCUCAGGUUUAUUCGAGAUAGCUCGAUAAAAGAAAGAAGGGAGGAGGGAAGAAACAGAAAAAUAACUCGGAUAUCUAAUUCUUACGAAUUACAUAAUGCCCUUAAUACCCGCUUUCAUAAAACGAAGUUUCAACUUUACAAAGACAACAAAAUAUUCGUAGAAGAUUCUCAAUUAGAAUCCGCGCUAAAGAAAAACUUUCUUUCUAAAAACUUUCUCCCGUUUUUCCAUAGGAGGAAACACUUCUUGCUCGAAGAGCCACCUCUUCUUAGAAGAAGAGCCUCAUCAUCGCGUCGAGCCACCAUUCAGUAUCGAUGUGAAAUAAUUCAAACUCAUUGCUCGGAAUAUUGAACUAUCGUUAUUGCUAUUGUUACACAUAUUACCCCUUCAGCCGUAGGGGUGAGUUUAUGAUCACGUCGAAUAACGUGCCGCCCCGUUGUUGCGACACGUAAAACCAGUAAUUGAUAACAGACGUGACGAGGUCAGAAGUAUAGGCGCUUUUCAUUAAUAACUUAGCUCGAUGUCGUGCACAGAUAACUUUCGUUUUUCUCCGGCUUAAAUAAGCCAAAAAUCUUUCUUUUUUUUACAAUCUCAUCAAACGAAAAUGAAUCGAUAAUUUAAUCUCAAAUCGAGUGAUCCCGCGAUUAACAAAUUAAUUUAAGAUGAAAUAUCGCAAAUUCUCAGAUAACAGACAUUCUACAGAUUAGAGGCGACCAGAAGAGGAAUUGUUGGGAAGCAUGCGUUAAUAAAAUCAUCACUAUUCACGCGAAGAAUAUGCGAUUCAACCGUUGGCCCAGAAACCAUAUGAAAGAUCGUGUCCAUGACCACACCUGAUUUACAACAAAUAAAUAACCAGAUAAGAUACGAGCAUUCGAACAACGUCGUACUACGACAACCUGUCCGCAAGAAAAAGAAAUAACCAAAUUCUCUAAACCAGCGCGGUGGUUAAUAAUCGCGGGAUGAGGACGCCAGAGUUAAGCGUUGGAUAGGUUUUCACGGCGUAGUGUAAAAGGUGAAUCCUCCGCAACCUGAGCCCAACCUUGGUUGGCCCCGUGAUUCCCGCCUUCCUCGCGCCAUUCAACUGUCAUUAGAGUUAUUUAUCGGCGGCGAGAUGAAUUACAGCCAUGAUAUAAGUUGCGGGCCCUCUGCUUAUGGCUGACGACCGCUGGUAUUACCGGACGAGGCGCCAUGAAAUCUUAAUAACGACGACAACCACGUCCAUCCGCCGUGGAUCGUUUCGCUUCGCCCUCUCGAUAUUGGACACCGCGAGAGCGUUGUUGGGAGAGCGCGUGCACACUUUGUGAUGAAGGAAACGGGACUACUUGUAAGGGGAUGUAACAAGGAGGAAGGGAAGAGAAGAGGAUGUAAUCUCGUCGUGCGGCGAGACGAUUUCUCGGAAGGUUGUCCAGGAGUCGGUAGUCUGCGGUCGGAUGGCGAAAAAAGAUUGCUGUUCCAUCGUACGUAAAAGAAAAUUGUACGGUUGUAAAACGUGAAGAGUGAAUGUAUUUAUUGAUUAAGUAUUAUUAUGGGAAACUUUUGAACAAUUUUGAAUAAUAUAAAAUUCGUUAAAUAUUUAUCUACACUUUUGUUUAUUGAAAUCUAGCUUCUG